rnacentral:lncRNA from 1 species
UGGAUGAUCUUGGAGGUCUUUUCCAACCUUGGUGAUUCUGUGAUUCUACAGCUCUUCCCUGUGUUUUGUUUUAGGUGUUUUGUUCCAGUGUCCUCUGCAGAAUGUGAACCUUCCAGAUGCUGAACCAUGGGGUUGGGGCUGCUCCUGACUUACAGUCUCCUGCAAGGCUCGGAUCAUGAAGGUUGGAAGAGACCUCAGAUAUCCUCAAGAUACCCAAAGCAGGGAAGGAAACAGCUGAGGGAAUAAGACAUCCAGACGGAGAAGAAAAGGGGUGGCAAGUCAACUGGAUGUGCUGUCUGAUGAUAGGAGGAAGAGGAGAAAGAUCUCAAUCACCAUCAGCUCCUAAAAGGCACAAAUGGCCCACUCCAAAUCUGCUCGCCUUUGCCAAUCCAGGGGAACCCAGGAGACAGGUCAUGGUGCUGUACAUACAGAUGGACCUCUGUGCUGCGUCGCAUGGCGUGGAGAAAUCACUGUGUGCCAGGAGAGGAGAAAAAUUCAAUAUUUAAUCUGCAAACACGCCUGCAGAAGGCAAGCCACUACAUUUUCAUUUAUGAUUUUCAGCCUACAAAAAUACAACAGCAUAUACUGAAGUGCUUCUCUGCUGCUCCUGACAUAAAUAACAAAAGUGGAGGUGAGGAGAAAAUAUUAUGUGUGUGGGGCAGAGUGGAGGGCAGCACCUGAGCUGUGUUAUCAGAGAGAGAAGCAAAUGGGGAUACGAAUUGGACUGCAAACUCCCCAGGGUGGUGGGCACAGAUCUGAGAUCAGGGAGCAAUGGGACACAGCUCUGAUGCAGGGCUGGGGCUGGGGGUGAUGUGUGGGGCCGGGGUUGGGCAAAGUGAUCCCUGUGGGUCCCUUCCAGCUCGAGGUUCUAUGAAGGGGAGGGAAUUCCCUGAAACAAUCUCUUUUUAAAGGAGCUUCCCAGCAGGAACUACAUCCAAUUGAGUGAUCUUCUCAACUGAUCCUCUCAGCUGUGUCCAGAUGUGGAGUCCUCAGUGCAGGAGAGACGUGGAGCUGUUGGAGAGCAUCCAGAGGAGGGCCACAAAAAUGAUGCCAAGGAUGGAACAGCUCUGCUAUGAGGACAGGCUGAGAGCUGGGGCUGUGCAGAUGGAGAAGGGAAGGGCAGGCUGCGAGGUGAGCUGAGAGCAGCCUGUCAGCAUCUAAAGGGGAGCAACAGGAAAGAAGGG